rnacentral:rRNA from 1 species
CAGCCGUAAACAAUGUGCGUCAGGUGUGUCGGUAACCACGCGUCACUGAUGCGCCGAAGAGAAAUCGUGAAACGCACCACCUGGGAAGUACGGUCGCAAGGCUGAAACUUAAAGGAAUUGGCGGGGGAGCACCACAACAGGUGGAGCCUGCGGUUUAAUUGGAUUCAACGCCGGACAUCUCACCGGAUAAGACAGCUGAAUGAUUGUCAAUCUGAAGGUUUUACAUGACUAGCUGAGAGGUGGUGCAUGGCGUCAGUGACU